rnacentral:rRNA from 1 species
UUGCCGGCGACCGGCGCACGGGUGAGUAACGCGUAUCCCACCUUCCGCUUACUCGGGGAUAGCCUUUCGAAAGAAAGAUUAAUACCCGAUGGUAUCUUAAGCACGCAUGAGAUUAAGAUUAAAGAUUUAUCGGUAAGCGAUGGGGAUGCGUUCCAUUAGGCAGUUGGCGGGGUAACGGCCCACCAAACCUACGAUGGAUAGGGGUUCUGAGAGGAAGGUCCCCCACAUUGGAACUGAGACACGGUCCAAACUCCUACGGGAGGCAGCAGUGAGGAAUAUUGGUCAAUGGGCGAGAGCCUGAACCAGCCAAGUAGCGUGAAGGAUGACGGCCCUACGGGUUGUAAACUUCUUUUGUGCGGGAAUAAAGGAACCUACGUGUAGGUUUUUGCAUGUACCGUAACGAAUAAGCAUCGGCUAACUCCGUGCCAGCAGCCGCGGUAAUACGGAGGAUGCGAGCGUUAUCCGGAUUUAUUGGGUUUAAAGGGAGCGUAGACGGGUUUUUAAGUCAGCUGUGAAAGUUUGGGGCUCAACCUUAAAAUUGCAGUUGAAACUGGAGACCUUGAGUACGGUUGAGGCAGGCGGAAUUCGUGGUGUAGCGGUGAAAUGCUUAGAUAUCACGAAGAACUCCGAUUG